UUAACUGAAGAGUUUGAUCAUGGCUCAGAUUGAACGCUGGCGGCAGGCCUAACACAUGCAAGUCGAGCGGAAACGAUGGUAGCUUGCUACCAGGCGUCGAGCGGCGGACG
rnacentral:rRNA from 1 species